UACGUAGGGUCCAAGCGUUAUCCGGAAUCACUGGGCGUAAAGAGUGCGUAGGCGGAUGUUUAAGUGCGACAUGAAAUUCUGUGGCUCAACCAUAUGAACUGUGUCGCAUACUGGACGUCUGGAGGACGGCAGAGGCAAGUGGAAUUACUGGUGUAGCAGUGAAAUGCGUAGAUAUCAGUAGGAACACCAAUGGCGAAGGCAGCUUGCUGGGCCGUUUCUGACGCUAAGGCACGGAAAGCGUGGGGAGCCGAACGAGGAU
rnacentral:rRNA from 1 species